rnacentral:rRNA from 1 species
UCGCCCAAGAGAUCGGGAUAACACCUAGGAAACAAGAUGCUAAUACCGGAUAACAACAGAUGAUGCCUAUCAACUGUUUAAAAGAUGGUUCUGCUAUCACUCUUGGAUGGACCUGCGGUGCAUUAGCUAGUUGGUAGGGUAACGGCCUACCAAGGCGAUGAUGCAUAGCCGAGUUGAGAGACUGAUCGGUCACAUUGGGACUGAGACACGGCCCAAACUCCUACGGGAGGCAGCAGCC